rnacentral:rRNA from 1 species
GUAGGUGGCAAGCGUUGUCCGGAAUUAUUGGGCGUAAAGCGCGCGCAGGCGGUUCUUUAAGUCUGAUGUGAAAGCCCACGGCUCAACCGUGGAGGGUCAUUGGAAACUGGAGAACUUGAGUACAGAAGAGGAAAGCGGAAUUCCACGUGUAGCGGUGAAAUGCGUAGAGAUGUGGAGGAACACCAGUGGCGAAGGCGGCUUUCUGGUCUGUAACUGACGCGGAGGCGCGAAAGCGUGGGGAGCAAACAGGGAUUAGAUACCCUGGUAGUCCACGCCGUAAACGAUGAGUGCUAAGUGUUAGGGGGGUUUCCGCCCCCUUAGUGCUGCAGCUAACGCAUUAAGCACUCCGCCUGGGGAGUACGGCCGCAAGGCUG